rnacentral:rRNA from 1 species
CAGCAGCCUCGGUAAUACCGGCGGCCCGAGUGGCGGUCACUAUUAUUGGGCUUAAAGCGUCCGUAGCCGGGUUGGGGAAUCCUCCGGGAAAUCUGGCCGCUUAACGGUCAGAAUGCCGGAGGAUACUCCCAGCCUAGGGAGCGGGAGAGGCCGAGGGUAUUCCCGGAGUAGGGGGGAAAUCCUAUAAUCCCGGGAGGACCACCGGUGGCGAAGGCGCUCGGCUGGAACGCGUCCGACGGUGAGGGACGAAGGCCAGGGGAGCAAACCGGAUUAGAUACCCGGGUAGUCCUGGCUGUAAACGAUGCGGACUUUGUGUCGGACAAGCUAUGAGCUUGUCCGGUGCCGGAGGGAAACCGUUAAGUCCGCCGCCUGGGGAGUACGGCCGCAAGGCUGAAACUUAAAGGAAUUGGCGGG